CCUGCUUUCCAGUUUGCCUUAAGAAGAAGGGCUGAUUCCAGGAGGUGAAAGACAAGAAGCGGUGAUCAGAAUUUGGGGUUGAAAGUUCACCUGGAGUACUGAGCACUACAGCAUACAGAGGAUAUCAACAAGAUGGAACUUGUUUAGGGGAAUGUGAUCCAAAUGAUAAGAAACAGCAAGAAAGAGAUGGAGAGAACGACAGAUUGAGCAUAGGAGGAGGAGAGCACUGUGCUGGUUCCCGUGGGAAACUUGCAAAAGUUACUUUUUUAAGAAGACUACAGUAUCCAGCAGGCCAUGCUAACUGGAAAAUCUCUUGUUUUUAUGAAAUGUGGUUCCAAUUCCUCCAUUAAAAAACCUCA